GUUCACUAUUAUUCUUCCUUUAGAUCUCAGCUAAAGAAUGCCUAUUAUAAGCAGGGUCAGAUCUGGUUAGUACUCGAAUGGGAGACCACCUAGGAAGACCAGGUGCUGUAGGUG
rnacentral:rRNA from 1 species